UACGAAGGGUGCAAGCGUUAAUCGGAAUUACUGGGCGUAAAGCGUGCGUAGGCGGUUCCUCAAGUCCGUUGUGAAAGCCCCGGGCUCAACCUGGGAAUGGCAGUGGAAACUAGGGGACUGGAAUCUGGCAGAGGGGGGUGGAAUGCCGCGUGUAGCAGUGAAAUGCGUAGAGAUGCGGCGGAACACCGAUGGCGAAGGCAGCCCCCUGGGCUGAGAUUGACGCUCAGGCACGAAAGCGUGGGGAGCAAACAGG
rnacentral:rRNA from 1 species